CAGUCGCCGCGGUAAUACGUAGGGUGCAAGCGUUAAUCGGAAUUACUAGGCGUAAAGCGUGCGCAGGCGGUGAUGUAAGACAGUUGUGAAAUCCCCGGGCUCAACCUGGGAACUGCAUCUGUGACUGCAUUGCUGGAGUGCGGCAGAGGGGGAUGGAAUUCCGCGUGUAGCAGUGAAAUGCGUAGAUAUGCGGAGGAACACCGAUGGCGAAGGCAAUCCCCUGGGCCUGCACUGACGCUCAUGCACGAAAGCGUGGGGAGCAAACAGGAUUAGAUACCCGCGUAGUCCCUGUCUCUUAUAC
rnacentral:rRNA from 1 species